rnacentral:rRNA from 1 species
AAAGAACCAACAGGGAUUGCCCUAGUAACGGCGAGUGAAGCGGCAACAGCUCAAAUUUGAAAUCUGGCCCUCUCAGGGUCCGAGUUGUAAUUUGCAGAGGGUGCUUUGGCGAUGGCUGUGGUCUAAGUUCCUUGGAACAGGACGUCACAGAGGGUGAGAAUCCCGUACGUGGCCGCCAGCCUCCGCCGUGUAAAGCCCCUUCGACGAGUCGAGUUGUUUGGGAAUGCAGCUCUAAAUGGGAGGUAAAUUCCUUCUAAAGCUAAAUACUGGCCAGAGACCGAUAGCGCACAAGUAGAGUGAUCGAAAGAUGAAAAGCACUUUGGAAAGAGAGUCAAAAAGCACGUGAAAUUGUUGAAAGGGAAGCGCUUGCAGCCAGACUUGCCUGUAGUUGCUCACCGGGGCUCUUGCCCUGGGCACUCUUCUACGGGCAGGCCAGCAUCAGUCCGGGCGGUUGGAUAAAUGCCUGCUACAUGUACCUCUCUUCGGGGAGGACUUAUAGGGUAGGCGACAUACAGCCAGCCUGGACUGAGGUCCGCGCAUCUGCUAGGAUGCUGGCGUAAUGGCUGUAAGCGGCCCGUCUUGAAACACGGACCAAGGAGUCUAACAUCUAUGCGAGUGUUUGGGUGUAAAGCCCGAGCGCGGAAUGAAAGUGAACGGAGGUGGGAACCCCUCGGGGUGCACCAUCGACCGAUCCUGAUGUCUUCGGAUGGAUUUGAGUAUGAGCAUAGCUGUUGGGACCCGAAAGAUGGUGAACUAUGCCUGAAUAGGGUGAAGCCAGAGGAAACUCUGGUGGAGGCUCGCAGCGGUUCUGACGUGCAAAUCGAUCGUCAAAUUUGGGCAUAGGGGCGAAAGA